UUCCUGUCUUGGAAUUUCUACCACUUUCUGUUCCAGAAGAGUAGAAAUGCAGGCCCUCAUGGCCCUUCGUUUGAUACCUGCCGACACCCUGGAUUUCUUGAAGAAAGCGGAUUUUGGGCGAAAGGAAAAUUCUAUCCUGUAACCCUCCUUUAUGAUGGAUGUGACCCACACGUCCGUAAUAUUUGCGGCCCACACGGGGUAGAAGAACUUCAGUCUUCCCCCCACAGUCCCAG